GACGAACGCUGGCGGCGUGCUUAACACAUGCAAGUCGAGCGGUAAGGCCUUUCGGGGUACCCGAGCGGCGAACGGGUGAGUAACACGUGGGUGAUCUGCCCUGCACUUCGGGAUGAGCCUGGGAAACUGGGUCUAAUACCGGAUAUGACCUCCUAUCGCAUGGUGGGUGGUGGAAAGAUUUAUCGGUGCAGGAUGGGCCCGCGGCCUAUCAGCUUGUUGGUGGGGUAAUGGCCUACCAAGGCGACGACGGGUAGCCGACCUGAGAGGGUGACCGGCCACACUGGGACUGAGACACGGCCCAGACUCCUACGGGAGGCAGCAGUGGGGAAUAUUGCACAAUGGGCGAAAGCCUGAUGCAGCGACGCCGCGUGAGGGAUGACGGCCUUCGGGUUGUAAACCUCUUUCAGCAGGGACGAAGCGCAAGUGACGGUACCUGCAGAAGAAGCACCGGCUAACUACGUG
rnacentral:rRNA from 1 species